AAUUAAAAAGUUUGCUCGUUUUUCUUUUUCUGUGUUUGUUGUUUUCUCCCAAGUGCGUGGUAAGAAAUGCCAGUUCCGUUAAUAUUGAAGAGGCUAAGCCCACAAUAAUGUUAAUCCGAUCUUUUCAAGUUCAUCCUUAGUUAAUCUUUCUGCUGUAUCGAAAAACCGUGGUUAGCACAAAGUUCCUAUGGAUACUGUUCUUGUCAAUUCCGUUACCACUCUUUAUCUUGUUCAGCCUUAAUCUGGUCUUUAAUUAACAAAAACUAAAUCAUGCGGGGAAAACUAUAGCUGCUAUCACGGAAUACAAUGGAUUGCUACUACAGUGUUUCGCACAAUUAAUUAGGCUGGCAACAAUUGCAAGAGAGGUAUUUGUGAUUAGAAAGACUUGAAAAAGAAGAAGACAAUGAUCUCUCAAUUGCAAAAGAAUGAAAUUUUACAAUUGCAGAAUAUUAUAGUUUCAGAGGCAAAAUUUACUUGCCGUACAAAAUCCAAAACACCAAACCCGCUAACCCUAGAGAAGUCAAUCAGCUUAAGCCUAAAGCCCAUGAAAACCCCACAAAUACAUCGCUGAUAAAACCCCAGAUACCCCAGCAACCAACACAAACACCAAAGACCUCGCUGAAACCAGCGCAAGGCGAUGGAGCUCGACAUCUGAAAGCGACGACAAAAAAGCAAAGUGAACCGAUGACAAAAAAUCAAAGUGAACUAGAAUGGUGGCGUGUUUGAAGAAGGUUAAACCCUUGCAUCACAGUGAGAGCCAUAGAGAAGUCGAGCUGGAAGGAAAGGAAGAAAGAUUCUUAUAUAUAUAUAUAUAUAUCGAAAAGAAAAGUAGUAACAUUGGCUUUUAAAUGAUUUUUCCCACUUGAAUUUGAGGUUUAUGGUCUGUUGUUGAUGAUUUCUUUUGUUUUGCUGAUUCUCGGUGCUUUAUAUUGUUUAUGUUUUGUUCUUAGGUUCUUGGGUUUUGUUUCGAGAAGGGCUACUGGGCUUGGUUUGUUGGCUGUCAGUCAGAUUGUGGAGUGCUGCCCUGACGUAUGCGGUGAGUCUCCCUCCCAAAUAAGCUGAUUAAUAGGAUAACCAAGUUGCUUCUUCUAGCUGCGAAGCAUCUGAACCACUGCGAAAAAAACAAUGGUCUUCUGCGUCAACCCACGCUGUAGGACAUCUAGCUAUGUAGCCAUAUGAAUGUACUUUUUGUGAUGCCACAUACUUUUUUCCUUCCUUCGACAACAUUCUACUUAACUCUCUUGCCAUACGCUGCUAUAUUUAGCUCUUUUGGAUUUAUCGAACAUCUUUUUGUUAUGAAUUCCUCGAACAACAACCAUGUUCAGUUAAUGUAGCCUUUUGUUUUCUUA